rnacentral:rRNA from 1 species
AACGUAGGGGGCAAGCGUUGCCCGGAUUCACUGGGCGUAAAGCGGGUGUAGGCGGUUCCUUAAGUCAGAUGUGAAAUCCUGCGGCUCAACCGCGGAACUGCAUCUGAUACUAGGGAACUUGAGGACGGUAGAGGUCGGUGGAAUACCCUGUGUACCGGUGAAAUGGGCAGAUAUAGGGUGGAACACCAGUGGCGAAGGCGGCCGACUGGGCCGAUCCUGACGCUGAGACCCGAAAGCCAGGGUAGCGAACCGG